GGGUCUUGUGCCAUCUAAAUUUUUGUGCAUCUAUUUGAAAUGUUUCACAUUUGAAUGAACAAACCAGAGAAUUUUGCUGUUGGAUGUGCAUUUUUCAUAGAUAUGAAAAAAUGGAAGAUGGAAGUUUAUAUCUAUUAUUUACUGGUGCAUGUGCCAUAUGUUAGAUUCUCCUUAGUUGCAGCAGUUCACUGCAAGCACCUGCAAAUUAUUUAAUUAG
rnacentral:misc_RNA from 1 species